GAGGAUUUCAUCCACAAGCCUGGGAAACCCUUAAGACCUGAACGGAAGCAUCAUGACAAAGAGGCAUUGGCCUGGGAAACACCGACAGUAUCCCCCAUCUGGGUUCCGCACCCAUCAGAGGCAGAGACACAUGCUCAUUACCAGCAAGAUCAGCUUCUUCAUUUUGACAGCGUUGCACUAGCUGCUCCGGAACCCACACUGGCUCUGCACGAUUCUGUGGAAACAUGCAAACAGACCCUCUUGCCCAGGCCAACACGGGAUCCAGACCAUUCCAUGAUCCUGUAAGCACAUCCUUCCA
rnacentral:lncRNA from 1 species